CCCAGGGGCAGUGACAGCAGCUGGAACAGUUUCCUGGAACGGAUCAUUUGAACGGGCCUUGGAGCAUGGGUGAGGCCAGCAGCAAAUGAGACCAACAGUGCUGGGAGCGGGUGCAGAGAGAAGGGACAAGAGCAAGUUGUGUAAUUCUGGAAACGCCACUUCAUCUGGAACAAUGCCACAUUCCACGACAUCGGAGACGACGUCUGUCUGUCUGCCGCAGCGUGGCCAGCUCUCGGAAUGUGGCUGGUACACCGUAGGGGCUCAGUAAAUACUUGUCGGGUGGAAUACAUAGCGUCGCAGGAGGCGUUCCGAGGACAACCCUCACCUCAGAGGCCUCACCCUUUAUAACUCAAAGCACUUUGAAAUGACUCCAACUCCAGAAUAUUUUAGAAAGUGUUUGUGAGGAUGAAUUGCUGUAUGUGCAGAUUAUAGACUAGAACUAUGCGUGUGAAAGAAUACAAAAUAUCUGUCUGAACGCAUAUAAAUAUAUACAAUAAUUAUUUAAUGCUCUACUCUGUAAACCCCCUAGGACCACAGUGAAGAGAACAUUAGCUGGAAGUGUGACGCCUGAGCUGAUGGCUGUGACAGUGCCCAGAGAAAGCGAUCUGUGAGGCGAGACAGAACCGGCUGUGAAGACAGGACCUGGGCUGCAGGGAAAAUAGGGGGCCCCACAGUGCCUGAGCUGGAUCCAACCCGACAGAGGGACUGACCGCCGGCCCCAGUCGCCGUGCUCCUGGAGUCGCCUUCUGUCUUCCGUCCACCCUGCGGUGUGGAGCCCCUCCCCACACUGUCCCCUGUGGGUUCUGGCUCUGGGGGGCGAGUGCCCCUGGCAGAGAGCUGCUGCCCCCCAGGCUGUGCACGGAGGGCCCUUUGGCCACCCCGAGGAAACCGGCAGCGCCUCCUCCCUUUUCCUGCCUGUCUCCUUUAUGCCCUUUAGCUCAGAAGGCACGGGAAGGGGAAGGAAAGGGCGAUGCAAGAGACCGGGAGGACCUGGAAGGCUCUGCCUCUGUUUUCAGUAAUUCUUAGCUGGCCUUGGGGAAAUCUGUCUGCAGCAAAGUCCAACCCAACACAGAUAAAGGACCUUUCUGCUGAUGUGUUGGACAAGACCUUUAACCCAGGGUUUUGUGAAGCAGUUGGACUGCCCUGCACAAACUCACAGGAGACGGUUCUUGUCUUGCUCGUCCCCUUUCAGGUGCCCCACGUGCUCCCACAUGCCCACACCCGGCAAACACCAGCUCUCACGUUGCCUGGUCCUAAAGAGUUUGUGUCAUAGAGCGGCAUGCCCUAAAGAGUUUGACCCGAAGGCUGACCUGCCCUGGGAGUUCAGGAAGACUCCAUUCUGGGGACACAGCUGACGAAGUCAUGCUGGCGGGGUAGCCACUUCAGUCUUGGGUCCUCUCCACUGCACCCUACUCCUAGUUGCUGCCUUGGGACCCUCAGGCUGGGAGUUCUGGCCCUCAGCCCUCACCCUCCGAGGGACCCCCACCCCACUGUGGCUUCUGGGCCCUUCCUCAGACUCAGAAGGGCUCCAGGGACAGAGGGGCUGAAGCAUAUUAUAGUUUUGCUACAAAUAAUAAUAACAACAAUAAAU
rnacentral:lncRNA from 1 species